UACGAUGGGGGCUAGCGUUGCUCGGAAUCACUGGGCGUAAAGCGCACGUAGGCGGAUCUUUAAGUCAGGGGUGAAAUCCUGGAGCUCAACUCCAGAACUGCCCUUGAUACUGGGGAUCUUGAGUCCGGAAGAGGUGAGUGGAACUCCGAGUGUAGAGGUGAAAUUCGUAGAUAUUCGCAAGAACACCAGUGGCGAAGGCGGCUCACUGGCCCGGUACUGACGCUGAGGUGCGAAAGCGUGGGGAGCGAACAGG
rnacentral:rRNA from 1 species